rnacentral:rRNA from 1 species
AUUGAACGCUGGCGGCAUGCUUUACACAUGCAAGUCGAACGGUAACAGGCCGCAAGGUGCUGACGAGUGGCGAACGGGUGAGUAAUGCAUCGGAACGUGCCCAGUCGUGGGGGAUAACUACUCGAAAGAGUAGCUAAUACCGCAUACGAUCUAUGGAUGAAAGCGGGGGACCGUAAGGCCUCGCGCGAUUGGAGCGGCCGAUGUCAGAUUAGGUAGUUGGUGGGGUAAAGGCUCACCAAGCCAACGAUCUGUAGCUGGUCUGAGAGGACGACCAGCCACACUGGGACUGAGACACGGCCCAGACUCCUACGGGAGGCAGCAGUGAGGAAUUUUGGACAAUGGGCGCAAGCCUGAUCCAGCAAUGCCGCGUGCAGGAAGAAGGCCUUCGGGUUGUAAACUGCUUUUGUACGGAACGAAACGGCUCUGGUUAAUACCCGGGGCUAAUGACGGUACCGUAAGAAUAAGCACCGGCUAACUACGUG